GACAGAGGUCCCGAGCGUUAGGCGGAAUCACUGGGCUUAAAGCGUGUGUAGGUGGAUCGUUAAGUACCUUGUGAAAUCCCACGGCUUAACCGUGGAACUGCUUGGUAUACUGGCGAUCUUGAGCCACUUAGGGGCUACCGGAACAAAUGGUGGAGCGGUGAAAUGCGUAGAGAUCAGGAAGAACACCGGUGGCGAAGGCGCUCUGCUAGGCCGCAACUGACACUGAGGGACGAAAGCUAGGGGAGCGAAUGGG
rnacentral:rRNA from 1 species